CGAGCGAAGACUUCGGUCUUAGCGGCGAACGGGUGAGUAACGCGUGGGAACGUGCCCUUCUCUACGGAAUAGCCCCGGGAAACUGGGUUUAAUACCGUAUACGCCCCUUGGGGGAAAGAUUUAUCGGAGAAGGAUCGGCCCGCGUUGGAUUAGGUAGUUGGUGGGGUAAUGGCCUACCAAGCCGACGAUCCAUAGCUGGUUUGAGAGGAUGAUCAGCCACACUGGGACUGAGACACGGCCCAG
rnacentral:rRNA from 1 species